rnacentral:rRNA from 1 species
CCUACGGGUGGCAGCAGUGGGGGAUAUUGCACAAUGGGGGGAACCCUGAUGCAGCGACGCCGCGUGGGUGAAGAAGCGCCUCGGCGUGUAAAGCCCUGUCAGCAGGGAAGAAAAUGACGGUACUUGAAGAAGAAGCCCCGGCUAACUACGUGCCAGCAGCCGCGGUAAUACGUAGGGGGCAAGCGUUAUCCGGAUUUACUGGGCGUAAAGGGGGCGCAGACGGCGUUGCAAGCCAGGAGUGAAAGCCCGGGGCCCAACCCCGGGACUGCUCUUGGAACUGCGUGGCUGGAGUGCAGGAGGGGCAGGCGGAAUUCCUGGUGUAGCGGUAAAAUGCGUAGAGAUCAGGAGGAACACCGGUGGCGAAGGCGACCUGCUGGACUGCAACUGACGUUGAGGCCCGAAAGCGUGGGGAGCAAACAGGAUUAGAUACCCGUGUAGUC